UACAGGGGGUGCAACCGUUGCUCGGAAUCAUUGGGCGUAAAGCGCGCGUAGGCGGUCUGUUAUGUCGGAUGUGAAAGCCCUUGGCUUAACUGAGGAAGUGCAUCCGAAACUGGCAGGCUAGAGUACUAAAGAGGGUCGCGGAAUUCCUGGUGUAGCGGUGAAAUGCGCAGAUAUCAGGAGGAACACCUAUGGCGAAGGCAGCUCGCUGGGACGGUACUGACGCUGAGACGCGAAAGCGUGGGGAGCGAACAGG
rnacentral:rRNA from 1 species